rnacentral:rRNA from 1 species
CGAAGGAUGCAAGCGUUAUCCGGAUUCAUUGGGUUUAAAGGGAGCGUAGGCGGACUUGUAAGUCAGUGGUGAAAUCUGUGGGCUUAACCCACAAACUGCCAUUGAUACUGCAGGUCUAGAGUACAGUUGCCGUUGGCGGAAUAUGACAUGUAGUGGUGAAAUACUUAGAUAUGUCAUAGAACACCGAUUGCGAAGGCAGCUAACGAAGCUGUAACUGACGCUGAGGCUCGAAAGUGCGGGGAUCAAACAGGAUUAGAUACCCUGGUAGUCCGCACUGUAAACGAUGAUUACUCGUUGCUGGGGAGCAAUUUCCAGUAACCAAGCGAAAGCGAUAAGUAAUCCACCUGGGGAGUACGCCGGCAACGGUG